rnacentral:rRNA from 1 species
CGUAGGGUGCGAGCGUUAAUCGGAAUUACUGGGCGUAAAGCGUGCGCAGGCGGUUCGUUAAGACAGAUGUGAAAUCCCCGGGCUCAACCUGGGAACUGCAUUUGUGACUGGCGGACUAGAGUUCGGUAGAGGGGUGGAAUUCCACGUGUAGCAGUGAAAUGCGUAGAGAUGUGGAGGAACACCAAUGGCGAAGGCAGCCCCCUGGGCCUGAACUGACGCUCAUGCACGAAAGCGUGGGAGCAAACAGGAUU